CAAAUCCCUAAAAGACCAUCCCAGUUCGGAUCGCAGGCUGCAACCCGCCUGCGUGAAGUUGGAAUCGCUAGUAAUCGCGGAUCAGCAUGCCGCGGUGAAUACGUUCCCGGGCCUUGUACACACCGCCCGUCACACCAUGAGAGUCGGGAACACCCGAAGUCCGUAGCCUAACAGCAAUGGGGCGCGGCCGAAGGUGGGUUCGAUAAUUGGGGUGAAGUCGUAACAAGGUAUC
rnacentral:rRNA from 1 species